UACGAAGGGGGCUAGCGUUGCUCGGAAUCACUGGGCGUAAAGGGUGCGUAGGCGGGUCUUUAAGUCAGGGGUGAAAUCCUGGAGCUCAACUCCAGAACUGCCUUUGAUACUGAAGAUCUUGAGUUCGGGAGAGGUGAGUGGAACUGCGAGUGUAGAGGUGAAAUUCGUAGAUAUUCGCAAGAACACCAGUGGCGAAGGCGGCUCACUGGCCCGGUACUGACGCUGAGGUGCGGAAGCGUGGGGAGCAAACAGG
rnacentral:rRNA from 1 species